GGUGGUUCUCGGGUGACGCACCCUGGAAUCGGGCUCCCUCCUCUCUGGUUCCAGGUACAUUACCUGAGAAAUACA
rfam:Myotis brandtii contig281276, whole genome shotgun sequence.